rnacentral:rRNA from 1 species
UACGGAGGAUGCAAGCGUUAUCCGGAAUCAUUGGGCGUAAAGCGUCCGCAGGUGGUCAUUCAAGUCUGCUGUUAAAGACAGAAGCUCAACUUCUGAUAGGCAGUGGAAACUGGAUGACUUGAGUAUGGUAGGGGUUGAGGGAAUUCCCAGUGUAGCGGUGAAAUGCGUAGAUAUUGGGAAGAACACCAGUGGCGAAGGCGCUCAACUGGGCCAUAACUGACACUCAGGGACGAAAGCUAGGGUAGCGAAAGGG